rnacentral:rRNA from 1 species
AUUGAACGCUGGCGGCAGGCCUAACACAUGCAAGUCGAACGAGUGGCGGACGGGUGAGUACUGUCUGGGAAACUGCCUGAUGGAGGGGGAUAACUACUGGAAACGGUAGCUAAUACCGCAUACCAUCGGAUGUGCCCAGAUGGGAUUAGCUAGUAGGGGGGGUAACGGCUCACCUGGGCGACGAUCCCUAGCUGGUCUGAGAGGAUGACCAGCCAAACUGGACCUGAGACACGGUCCAGACUCCUACGCGAGGCAGCAGUGGGGAAUAUUGUAAAAGGGGCGAAAGCCUGAUGCAGGCAUGCAGCGUGUAUGAAGAAGGCCUUCGGGUUGUAAAGUACUUUCAGCGGGGAGGCGUUACCCGCAGAAGAAGCACCGGCUAACUCCGUGCCAGCCGCCGCGGUAAUUC